UACGAAGGGGGCUAGCGUUGCUCGGAAUCACUGGGCGUAAAGCGCACGUAGGCGGAUUGCUAAGUCAGGGGUGAAAUCCUGGAGCUCAACUCCAGAACUGCCUUUGAUACUGGCAACCUUGAGUCCGGGAGAGGUGAGUGGAACUGCGAGUGUAGAGGUGAAAUUCGUAGAUAUUCGCAAAGAACACCCGUGGCGAAGGCGGCUCUC
rnacentral:rRNA from 1 species